rnacentral:rRNA from 1 species
ACUCCUACGGGAGGCAGCAGUGGGGAAUAUUGCACAAUGGGCGCAAGCCUGAUGCAGCCAUGCCGCGUGUAUGAAGAAGGCCUUCGGGUUGUAAAGUACUUUCAGCAGUGAGGAAGGCGGGUGUGUUAAUAGCGCAUUCGUUUGACGUUAGCUGCAGAAGAAGCACCGGCUAACUCCGUGCCAGCAGCCGCGGUAAUACGGAGGGUGCGAGCGUUAAUCGGAAUUACUGGGCGUAAAGCGCAUGCAGGUGGUUUGUUAAGUCAGAUGUGAAAGCCCGGGGCUCAACCUCGGAAUUGCAUUUGAAACUGGCAGACUAGAGUACUGUAGAGGGGGGUAGAAUUUCAGGUGUAGCGGUGAAAUGCGUAGAGAUCUGAAGGAAUACCGGUGGCGAAGGCGGCCCCCUGGACAGAUACUGACACUCAGAUGCGAAAGCGUGGGGAGCAAACAGGAUUAGAUACCCUGGUAGGAUAGCG